UUAAUCUAUACUUUUAGCCAGCAGAUCAAGAAUUUUAAGUUUAUGGGUUCUUAUGUACUCUAGCCCUUUUGAGUUAACGAGUUCUACAUUAAUAAUUUAAAUAUAAUAAAUGUACUUUUUCAGACAAGUACUAGGUUUGGGCCAAAUAUACCAUCAACUCUUCACCCGCCACUGCUCGGAGUUAAAGGAAAUUAAAGGGCUUUACCCAAAUUUCACCAGUCAUAUGGCUAGGGUUAUAGUAACUGUACUCAAAACCUAUGGCCAUGUGACGAAUGCACAUGUGUUGCUAUUCAAUAGAGAGGGAAAAUGAUAAGCGAAAAAAUACAAAGAGCGGGAGUGAAAAAACAAACCUGUGAAUAGAAGAAUGAGAGGAACUGAGCGAUUGGUUGAUAUAAUGGACAGAAUGACAUGCAGAGAGACAACACGCUACCCUUGGGUGUGUGCGCGCGCGCGAGAUAGAGAGAGAGAUGCCCAGAGAGGAGAAAAAAUGUAAUGGAUCGGGGCUUUCAA
rnacentral:lncRNA from 1 species